rnacentral:lncRNA from 1 species
CCUCGGUGGAGAUGCGCCUCUGGGCAUACAUGGUGAAGCCCUCGUUGAGCCAGAACUCGCCCCAGGUGGCGUUGGUGACCAGGUUGCCAAACCAGCUGUGGGAGAUCUCGUGGAUGAUGACGUCCACCAGGGAGCGGUCCCCGGCCAGCAGGCAGGGCGUGACGAAGGUGAUGCAGGGGUUCUCCAUGCCGCCGAAGGGGAAGGAGGGCGGCAUGAACAGCACGUCGUACCUGCCCCAGACGUAGGGCCCAAACAGCUUCUCGCCCACAGCCAGGAACUCCUCGAUCACCCCAUCGUACUCC